AAGGGAGCUUGCUCCCGGAUGUUAGCGGCGGACGGGUGAGUAACACGUGGGUAACCUGCCUGUAAGACUGGGAUAACUCCGGGAAACCGGAGCUAAUACCGGAUAGUUCCUUGAACCGCAUGGUUCAAGGAUGAAAGACGGUUUCGGCUGUCACUUACAGAUGGACCCGCGGCGCAUUAGCUAGUUGGUGGGGUAAUGGCUCACCAAGGCGACGAUGCGUAGCCGACCUGAGAGGGUGAUCGGCCACACUGGGACUGAGACACGGCCCAGACUCCUACGGGAGGCAGCAGUAGGGAAUCUUCCGCAAUGGACGAAAGUCUGACGGAGCAACGCCGCGUGAGUGAUGAAGGUUUUCGGAUCGUAAAGCUCUGUUGUUAGGGAAGAACAAGUGCGAGAGUAACUGCUCGCACCUUGACGGUACCUAACCAGAAAGCCACGGCUAACUACGUGCCAGCAGCCGCGGUAAUACGUAGGUGGCAAGCGUUGUCCGGAAUUAUUGGGCGUAAAGGGCUCGCAGGCGGUUUCUUAAGUCUGAUGUGAAAGCCCCCGGCUCAACCGGGGAGGGUCAUUGGAAACUGGGAAACUUGAGUGCAGAAGAGGAGAGUGGAAUUCCACGUGUAGCGGUGAAAUGCGUAGAGAUGUGGAGGAACACCAGUGGGCGAAGGCGACUCUCUGGUCUGUAACUGACGCUGAGGAGCGAAAGCGUGGGGAGC
rnacentral:rRNA from 1 species